CCCGGGACACCCAGAGCAGCCAAGCAGUCCAAAAAAGACUCUAACAAUGAGUGGAAAACCACAUUCUCAUCAAGUAAGACCUCUUUCACCAAAGGCAGGGUUUCAAUCCUGAGGACUAAGUACGCCAUCUCCUGGGGCAAAUACUCGAUCUCCUGGAGCAGAACCACAGUAACUUUGGGGAACACCGGCUUAGCUGUGGGCACCACCUCUGUCACACGAGGGGAGACCACCAGCUCUCUCACUACUCUGACCUUCACCCAUGGGACCAAGUCUGUGUCUGUGGUCAAAACCACCCUCAUCAGGGGCAAAGAAAAACACAGCAACAUCUACUGGAAUUUCCACACUUGAAUUCUUGAAAACACACACUCAAAAACCCAGAGGAUAUCUGUCUCUGGUCAGUUUUAGCAGUCUUGGCAUAAACCAUCAGGAUCAGAUGACACAGGCGGACUCCUCACUGGCUGCAGCAUUGUGUAACUCCAGCCAGUGGUGUGUUUAUCAUCCCGGCCUGUCGGGGGAGACGUCCUGUCCUGUACUGGACCAGCACAAACAGCCAGGAGAAAGAAUGCAUUGUGCUCCGAUUAAAAAUUACAUAAGGAUGAUAAUUAGGCUGAAAGUGUAAAAAAUCGAACAGCACGGUGGGUGCGCCUCUCUCUUACCCACCUCCCCUGUGGGAAAAAAAACAAAAAACAAAAGAUCCAGACUAAGUGUUUCAUGGUCAGAGGAGGUGCGGAGGGGGCCGGCGAGCGAGACGGACAUCGAAGGCGUCGGGCUGAGAAGCAACAAGAGGGAAAUCAGAUGUUAGAACCUGGCAGGGGGAGGGGCUAAAAUGGAAAAUAACGCAACGAUUGGUGGUUAGAGAGCAGGCGAUGGGAUGUGCAAGACAAACCUGACGCACCUAAUGCUGUAGAAACUCAGAAAAGGUUUAGAUAUCGCAAAUCAGUGCGGAAGUUAGAAGUGAGAGGUAGCACAGAAUGAUGCAAGACACGCCCACUUGCAGAGGCAGGUCACAGAAUAUGCGGAAUAUGCCACGUUUGCAUUGGCCACAGGGAGGAACAUGUGAUCAGUUACUCUCAUGCCACGCCCUGGAGAAGAAGCUCCAACAUCCACCGAGCUGCAGCACAUCACCCAUCCUCCCAUCCCUCCUUCCUUCUGUUUACAGGAAUCAGCUGAAGGCAUAGCGCCACACACCACAUCUCUCACUCAUUGUAUCUAUUUCCUCUUCAGGUUCACCGUGUCCACAUCCACACUGCUCCUCCAGUCGCGGACGGCGCCGUAAAAAAA